rnacentral:rRNA from 1 species
CCUACGGGUGGCAGCAGUGAGGAAUAUUGGACAAUGGACGCAAGUCUGAACCAGCCAUGCCGCGUGCAGGAAGACGGCUCUAUGAGUUGUAAACUGCUUUUGUACGAGGGUAAACGCAGAUACGCGUAUCUGUCUGAAAGUAUCGUACGACUAAGGAUCGGCUAACUCCGUGCCAGCAGCCGCGGUAAUACGGAGGAUUCAAGCGUUAUCCGGAUUUAUUGGGUUUAAAGGGUGCGUAGGCGGUCGGAUAAGUUAGAGGUGAAAGCCCGAGGCUCAACUUCGGAAUUGCCUCGGAUACUGUUCGGCUAGAGAGUAGUUGCGGUAGGCGGAAUGUAUGGUGUAGCGGUGAAAUGCUUAGAGAUCAUACAGAACACCGAUUGCGAAGGCAGCUUACCAAGCUACUUCUGACGUUGAGGCACGAAAGCGUGGGGAGCAAACAGGAUUAGAUACCCCUGUAGUC